rnacentral:rRNA from 1 species
UGAAUACGAGACGCUACGGCGUCGAAGCAGUCUAUGUCAUACUUCCAAGAAAAGCUCGCAAUGUCAUAAACAAAUAAUGCCUGUACCAUAACCGACACAGGUGGGUAGGUAGAGUAUACUAAGGGGCGCGAGAUAACUCUCUCUAAGGAACUCGGCAAAAUGACUCCGUAACUUCGGGAGAAGGAGUGCCUUAUUUAUAAGGUUGCAAUAACAAGAUCCAAGCAACUGUUUAUCAAAAACACAGGUCUCCGCUAAGUCGUAAGACGAUGUAUGGGGGCUGACGCCUGCCCAGUGCCAGAAGGUUAAAGAAGUUGGUUAGCAUUCGCGAAGCUGAUAACUGAAGCCCUGGUGAACGGCGGCCGUAACAAUAACGGUCCUAAGGUAGCGAAAUUCCUUGUCGGGUAAGUUCCGACCCGCACGAAAGGCGUAAUGAUUUGGAUACUGUCUCGGAGAGGGGCUCGGUGAAAUAGACUUGUCUGUGAAGAUGCGGACUACCUGCACCUGGACAGAAAGACCCUAUGAAGCUUUACUGUAACUUGAAAUUGAAAUUGGACUUUAUUUGCGCAGCAUAGGUGGGAGGCGUUGAGAGUAUUCUUGCGGGAAUAUUGGAGCCAUCAGUGAGAUACCACUCUUGUAAUGUUAGAUUUCUAACUUUGGAUCAUUAUCUGGUCAAAGAACAGUUUCAGGCGGGCAGUUUGACUGGGGCGGUCGCCUCCCAAAUGGUAACGGAGGCGUACAAAGGUUUCCUCUGAACGGGUAGAAAUCGUAUCUAGAGUGUAAAGGCAUAAGGAAGCUUGACUGCGAGACCUACAAGUCGAGCAGGGACGAAAGUCGGUCUUAGUGAUCUGACGGUGCUGAGUGGAAAGGCCGUCACUCAACGGAUAAAAGUUACUCUAAGGAUAACAGGCUGAUCUCCCCCAAGAGUUCACAUCGACGGGGAGGUUUGGCACCUCGAUGUCGGCUCAUCGCAUCCUGGGGCGGUAGUACGUCCCAAGGGUUGGGCUGUUCGCCCAUGAAAGCGGUACGCGAGCUGGGUUCAGAACGUCGUGAGACAGUUCGGUCCAUAUCCGGUGUAGGCGUUAGAAUAUUGAGAGGAGCCUUCUUUAGUACGAGAGGACCGAGAAGGACAUACCUCUGGUGUACCAGUUAUCGUGCCAACGGUAAACGCUGGGUAGCUAUGUAUGGAGAGGAUAACCGCUGAAAGCAUCUAAGUGGGAAGCCCACCUCAAGAUAAGUAUUCUC